GGUUAACGCUGGCGGCGUGCCUAACACAUGCAAGUCGAACGGUUCUAAGCGCGAGCUUAGGAUAGUGGCGAACGGGUGAGUAAAAGGUAGGAAUCUACCCCUUGGACGGAGAUAGCUACUGGAAACGGUAGGUAAACUUCGAUAAGCCCGAGAGGGGAAAGUGGUGAGACAGCCGAGGGAUGAGCCUACUCUCCAUCAGGUAGUUGGUGAGAUAAAAGCUUACCAAGCCGAUGACGGAUAACCGGUGUGAGAGCAUGAACGGUCACAAGGGCACUGAGAGACGGGCCCUACUCCUACGGGAGGCAGCAGUGGGGAAUCUUGGACAAUGGGCGAAAGCCUGAUCCAGCGACGCCGCGUGGAGGAAGAAGUCCUUCGGGAUGUAAACUUCUGAACUAGCCGAAUAAAAGGCCUGUGGACACACAGGAGAAGAAAGUAGGCUAGGAAAAGUCCCGGACUAACUACGUG
rnacentral:rRNA from 1 species